CACGUAGGCGGAUCGGAAAGUUGGGGGUGAAAUCCCGGGGCUCAACCCCGGAACGGCCUUCAAAACUAUCGGUCUAGAGUUCGAGAGAGGUGAGUGGAAUUCCGAGUGUAGAGGUGAAAUUCGUAGAUAUUCGGAGGAACACCAGUGGCGAAGGCGGCUCACUGGCUCGAUACUGACGCUGAGGUGCGAAAGUGUGGGGAGCAAACG
rnacentral:rRNA from 1 species